GUUUUUGCCCUGUUAUUUCACGUGAGAAGUGGUGGUUUAAAAGAGCCUGGCGUCUCUCUUGCUGCCUCUCCUGCCUUGCGACACGCUGGCUUCCUUUUGCCUUCCAUCUUCAUUUUUGUGUAUUGUAUUUUUGAAUAAAUUAUAUUGCAAGUACUUGAAGAGGGGGCUUUGUCUUCUUGAUUAGUUUCUGCUUGAAAAGUUGCUAUAGUGUUUCAUUUUUUAACCUGUAGAUGGAAAAAUGCCUUACACUUGUUUAUAUAUAACUUAUUUUAUUUCAUAACUUUUCUAAAAUUUGGUUAAGAUUAAUACUGCCAAGUUAGGUAGAACAUGAAAAUUACAGGUGAAAGAUAAUGCUAUUCUUAUAUAUGGAGUUUUUGCUAUUUGAGGGAAUGAGAUGAAUAUGUUUUCUGCCCUCGUUGAGCUUAUGUUCUAACCUGGAAAGAGAAACAGAAUAACUCUAAUGAUACAUGAUGUAUUAAUGAAAUGUAGGGAAGGUAUGCAUUGGCAGUACCUAACAUUAGCCUGGCACUAUGCUUAGACACCUUGUUUCAUCUUUCACAACUCUGAAUUAUAGUGAGAAAACUGAGGGUCAGAAAAAUAUAAAGUGCUUGGCCCCAGAUACAUAGCCCAGGACAAUAUUUCUCAAACUCUCUGUGAUAAAGGUUCAGCCUUUUUUUUUUUUUUUAAAUUUUCAAUUCUUUGCAGAUGAUUUUGUAAAAUACAAAUGCAAGUAAUAAAUGAAUUACAAAAGAGAAAAUUUAAAAAGGCAUACAGAUAGAUAUACAGCAUAAUUUGCUAUGUGUGUUUCAAAUAUUUCUAAAUCCAGUUUCAGUAUUAUGUUGUCACAAACUCGUAAGCAGUUUUGCAGACCAGCAGUGUUUCUGGGACCACAUUUUGAUUGGCACAGAUCUAG
rnacentral:lncRNA from 1 species